GAUGAACGCUGGCGGCGUGCCUAAUACAUGCCAGUCGAGCGAACAGACGAGGAGCUUGCUCCUCUGACGUUAGCGGCGGACGGGUGAGUAACACGUGGAUAACCUACCUAUAAGACUGGGAUAACUUCGGGAAACCGGAGCUAAUACCGGAUAAUAUAUUGAACCGCAUGUUUCCAUAGUGAAAGAUGGUUUUGUUGUAACUUAUAGAUGGAUCCGCGCCGCAUUAGCUAGUUGGUAAGGUAACGGCUUACCAAGGCAACGAUGCGUAGCCGACCUGAGGGGGUGAUCGGCCAGACUGGAACUGAGACACGGUCCAGACGCCUACGGGAGGCAGCAGUAAGGAAUCCUCCGCGAUGGGCGAAAGCCUGACGGAGCAACGCCGCGUGAGUGAUGAAGGUCUUCGGAUCGUAAAACUCUGUUAUUAGGGAAGAACAAAUGUGUAAGUAACUAUGCACGUCUUGACGGUACCUAAUCAGAAAGCCACGGCUAACUACGUG
rnacentral:rRNA from 1 species